UGGGGUGUGGCUCAGUGGUAGAGCGCUCAUUUCGCAUGUGUAGGGCACUGGGUUCAAUUCUCAGCAUCACAU
rfam:Ictidomys tridecemlineatus contig014348, whole genome shotgun sequence.